GACGAACGCUGGCGGCGUGCUUAACACAUGCAAGUCGAACGGAAAGGCCUCUUUCGGGGGGUACUCGAGUGGCGAACGGGUGAGUAACACGCGAGUAACCCGCCCUCGACUCUGGGAUAACUCUUGAAAACUGGGGCUAAAACCGGAUAGGGGCUCCCCCGGCAUGGUGGGGGUGGGAGAGUUUCGGGGGUUGGGGAUGGACUCGCGGCUUUUCAGCUUGUUGGUGGGGGAGUGGGUUACCCAGGCUUUGGCGGGUAGCCGGCCUGGGAGGGUGACCGGCCACAUUGGGGCCUGGAUACGGCCCCGGCUCCUACGGGAGGGAGCAGGGGGGAAUAUUGCACCAUGGGGGGGAGGCUGGUGGAGGAACGCCGUGGGCGGGAUGGCGGGCUUCGGGUUGUAAACCGGUUUCGGUCUUGGAGGAGGCUUGUGUGACGGUAGUGGGUAAAGAAGCACCGGCUAACUACGUG
rnacentral:rRNA from 1 species